rnacentral:snRNA from 1 species
AGCUUUGCGCAGUGGCAAUAUCGUAGCCGAUGAGGUUAAUCUGAAGCGCGAUUAUUGCUAAUUGAAAACUUUUCCUUUGGGAGCGCAGAGAGCCAUGCCUUGAAAUGCCUCUUCCUGUCAAAUACAGGUGUAUUUCAUAUAUUCCUGGGAGAUUUUUUUAUGAAGGAAAU